CGUCGAUGGGGCACGCGGUGUGAUAGUUUUACUAGUAUACUAGUUCUAUUUAUUGGGUGGCUUCUUUUACGAUCUUCUACGUGAUUCUCUCUCGUGAGAAGCAAAACGUGAUAAUUUCCGUAAAAAGACGCGUUAAUUACGAUCGAUGUUCUUCAAAAUCGUUAUAUAAUUAUAUUAGGUUACCACGCUUUACAUUAUGCAUAUAGACCGAUGCUAAUUACGUACGAAUUUUGUCUUGACGAUCAUUCUAAUUAAAACCACAUAUCUCUGAUUAGAUCGUGUUAGUUUAGAAGCUCUAACACGCAGAUAUUAAUCACAUCGCAAACAAAAGCUGAUCGACACACAUAUACACGUUAUUGACAACCAAUACAGUAGUUAGUGUAACAUCGUGAUGAGGCAUUUUCGACAUUAAUCGGGGAUGUUGCACGGAGAAUUCGACGAGCCCACUUCAUCUUGUUUCUCGAUGUUGCGUCACAUGUAUCGAAUCGAACGCAUCGUGAUUUUGCGCGAUACAGCCAAGAUAUCGCGUGCAUCAUAGAAGCAUAUGACAUUCCGGGUGGUAAGAGUUGGCCACGUGAGUGUUAUCUUCGCUAACGUGUUUCCGAUGUUUAUUUUAAUUUAGUCCUAAAGGUCGGUUGGUGUGACGGAUAAAUUCACUCGUACCGACAAAACGAAGACAGAAGAGUGCGUGAAAACUUCAGGGUGAUCUAUUUCAGUGGCACGACGGCCAUGUUGCUACAAGGCUAUCGAAAUAGCAACCGACUGCCUGUGUGUGUACGUGUGCGUGUAUGUAUGAGUGCAACUUUCGUCGAGCUCGCGCGAUUAAAGAUGAAGAUGGCGACACGUGUCUAGUGGUUUUCGGAUGAAACGCGAGAAAAAGAUGUCUCCCGUUGUGACAUCGCUUCUUUUCCAUCCACGUUACACGAAGUUCGACCUUGAUUCAGGAAUUCGUAGGAUGGAAAUACGAUUUAGUGUCAAGACUGUAGGCGAACGUAUAUCACGGGAAUUUUUGCGGCCAUGUUGCCGUUUUGUUGAUUCGUUUCGAUGUCGUGAAAACCAUGCGGGAGAUACUUCGUUCGAGAAUGAUUCUUUACAUCGUUUCCUACGUGUAUUUACGUAUUUUCUGGUAUCAUCAUGAAUACCAUGGAAGAUAAUUGCUACGUGAUUUUCUCUCUCUCUCUUUUUUUUUAAAGUUUCAGUCGAUGUUUCAACGAUAUGAAGAUAGGUAUGGUCGGCGAAGGAACGCUUGGAGGAAUGAGAAGGGAGGGGAGCGAGAGAACGAUAAAGUUUCGAGGAUAACGUCAAGUUGCAAGAAUGUUGACAUGUAUCCAGCGUGCGGAAGAUAACUACUUUGGUCACUAUCAUCGUGUUAUUUGACCUCUGAUUAAACUAACUGCAAUGCUAGCAGAAUGUGUGUGUUUACUUACGACACGAAAAGUCCUGAUUUUAAAAAUUCUGCAUCGUCGUUAAGUCUCGCUCCGUUUCUAUCUAAUUUUCACGACUGCACGAGAAGACUGCAGAGUCGAGACCGAGUUUGGUCGAAGAGAGAUCGACGUGUGUGCAACAUGAUAAAAACAUAUCAAUACAAACAGAGAUCGUAAAUGGAACGAAGGGCUCUCGUAUAUUAAGGAACAUUGUGACAGCAAUGAAAAGAUAUUGCACUCGCGCGUGAAACCGGUGCAUCAUUCGCGGAAUGAAUGAAACUGCACGUGUAUAUUGCACGUGGGAGAUACGCUACAGUUUUUUUAAACCGUGAAAGGUGAUUUCGUUGAAUGGACGCGCCGUUGAAAGCAAUUUUCGUUAGUAAACACAGGGCACGACGAUGCACAUGUCGAGUGUUAUACACAAUAAUAUAUAUAUAUAUUAAGUAACGACAACAACGAACGAGAUAAUGAAAAAUUGAUUCAAACAACGAGACAUAUCAGAUCUGGGAAGUUAGAUGAGUAAAAUAUAAAUAUAAAAGAAGAGAAACCCAGAGACAGAGACGAAAGAGAGGCGGAUCUAAGGACACGAUAAGAUACAGAUGCAGAGAGAAGAAUUCACAUGAACAGACAUCAGGAAAACUCAAAAUUACCUUUGUCGUAGAGAGUAAAAGUAGUGAUGGUGUAGUGGUGGUGGUGGUGGUGGUGGUAGGAUGGUUUUUUUUUUGGCAGGGGGUUGUUUAGUGCUCACCUCUGGGGCUGGUCGACCUUGCUCCGCCCCUGUC